AUUGAACGCUGGCGGCAGGCCUAACACAUGCAAGUCGAACGGUAACAGGAAGAAGCUUGCUUCUUUGCUGACGAGUGGCGGACGGGUGAGUAAUGUCUGGGAAACUGCCUGAUGGAGGGGGAUAACUACUGGAAACGGUAGCUAAUACCGCAUAACGUCGCAAGACCAAAGAGGGGGACCUUCGGGCCUCUUGCCAUCGGAUGUGCCCAGAUGGGAUUAGCUAGUAGGUGGGGUAACGGCUCACCUAGGCGACGAUCCCUAGCUGGUCUGAGAGGAUGACCAGCCACACUGGAACUGAGACACGGUCCAGACUCCUACGGGAGGCAGCAGUGGGGAAUAUUGCACAAUGGGCGCAAGCCUGAUGCAGCCAUGCCGCGUGUAUGAAGAAGGCCUUCGGGUUGUAAAGUACUUUCAGCGGGGAGGAAGGGAGUAAAGUUAAUACCUUUGCUCAUUGACGUUACCCGCAGAAGAAACACCGGCUAACUCCGUG
rnacentral:rRNA from 1 species